rnacentral:rRNA from 1 species
UACGUAGGGUACGAGCGUUGUCCGGAAUUAUUGGGCGUAAAGAGCUCGUAGGUGGUUUGUCGCGUCUGGUGUGAAAACCCAAGGCUCAACCUUGGGCUUGCAUUGGGUACGGGCAGACUAGAGUGCGGUAGGGGAGACUGGAAUUCCUGGUGUAGCGGUGGAAUGCGCAGAUAUCAGGAGGAACACCGAUGGCGAAGGCAGGUCUCUGGGCCGCAACUGACGCUGAGGAGCGAAAGCAUGGGGAGCGAACAGG